rnacentral:rRNA from 1 species
GGAGGGUGCGAGCGUUGUUCGGAAUUACUGGGCGUAAGGCGCGUGUAGGCGGCCUUGCAAGUCAGGCGUGAAAGCCCUCGGCUUAACCGGGGAAGUGCGUCUGAGACUGCUUGGCUUGAGUACGGGAGAGGGAGGCGGAAUUCCCAGUGUAGAGGUGAAAUUCGUAGAUAUUGGGAGGAACACCGGUGGCGAAAGCGGCCUCCUGGACCGAUACUGACGCUGAGACGCGAAAGCGUGGGGAGCAAACAGGAUUAGAUACCCUGGUAGUCCACGCGGUAAACGAUGGGCACUAGGUGUGGGGGGUAUCCACUCCUCCCGUGCCGAAGCUAACGCAUUAAGUGCCCCGCCUGGGGAGUACGGCCGCAAGGUUA